GAGUUUGAUCAUGGCUCAGGAUGAACGCUGGCGGCGUGCCUAACACAUGCAAGUCGAACGGGCGCGGCGUGCGGCAGGGGCCUCGGCCCCUGCGGCGCCGCGCGAGUGGCGGACGGGUGAGUAACGCGUGGGCAACCUGCCCUGUACUGGGGGAUAACACCUGGAAACAGGUGCUAAUACCGCAUAAGCGCGCUGUGCCGCAUGGCGCGGCGCGGAAAAACCCCGGUGGUACAGGAUGGGCCCGCGUCUGAUUAGCUGGUUGGCAGGGUAACGGCCUACCAAGGCGACGAUCAGUAGCCGGCCUGAGAGGGUGGACGGCCACACUGGGACUGAGACACGGCCCAGACUCCUACGGGAGGCAGCAGUGGGGGAUAUUGCACAAUGGGGGGAACCCUGAUGCAGCGACGCCGCGUGGGUGAAGGAGCGUUUCGGCGCGUAAAGCCCUAUCGGCAGGGAAGAAGAUGACGGUACCUGACCAAGAAGCCCCGGCUAACUACGUGCCAGCCGCCGCCGUAAC
rnacentral:rRNA from 1 species